UACGUAGGGUGCGAGCGUUGUCCGGAAUUACUGGGCGUAAAGAGCUCGUAGGUGGUUUGUCGCGUUGUUCGUGAAAACUCACAGCUCAACUGUGGGCGUGCGGGCGAUACGGGCAGACUGGAGUACUGCAGGGGAGACUGGAAUUCCUGGUGUAGCGGUGGAAUGCGCAGAUAUCAGGAGGAACACCGAUAGCGAAGGCAGCUCGCUGGGACGGUACUGACGCUGAGGCGCGAAAGCGUGGGGAGCGAACAGG
rnacentral:rRNA from 1 species